ACAUUUCGUCCAAUAUUUCCUCGCUCUCUUCACUUUAUGUUGUUUCACACCAGUUCCUGUAAGUUUUCUCCUUUUUCUUCAAUUUUCAUUUUCUAUUUCUGGGUUUUUCUCUCUUGACAUUUUACUUCUUCUUUCAUUUCCCUCUCCCUUUCGUCUAACAUUACCUCCACAAUCAAGCCAUAAUAAUUUUAUUCCUUACGUUGAGAUUUUGUUAUCGUUUCUCUGCUACAGUUAUAUUGGAUUAAUAUCGUUGUUCUGCCGAGUUUGGUGCUAGGAAUUGAUAAUUCUAUAUCAAUGUAAGUGUAGUAAGUGUGUUUUUCCGGUGGUAAGGUUAAUUGAUUCUUUUCAUUUGAAGGUUAAGGGUUUUAGUUGUUCUUAAUUCUCAAUUUUGUUCGUUUUUGGGUUCUUUCAAUGAUGGAUCCUGUGACAAAUACCCCUUUGACAAGUUGAUUAUUGUUGGUAUCAUUCCUUUUUGCAGGUAAGGGGCUAAACACCUUCGUUAGAGGUUGUUUUGUGUAGAAUUGUUAGUGGUUGAGCGACUAAUUGUAUUUUGGUCACAUAUCCUAAUGGAAUAAGGGUUGAAUGCGAGUUUUGUAACACCCCUUACCCGUAUCCAACGCCGGAAUAGGGUACGAGGUGUUACCAGACUUAAAAUUUCUUGAACAUAUAAAACCGGGUCAUAAAAUUUCGUCAACAUGUAUCAUAUUAUAAUUGGACAUCCG
rnacentral:lncRNA from 1 species